rnacentral:rRNA from 1 species
UACAGAGGUGCCAAGCGUUAGGCGGAAUCACUGGGCUUAAAGCGUGUGUAGGUGGAGAUCUAAGUACCUUGUGAAAUCCCACGGCUCAACCGUGGAACUGCUGGGUAUACUGGGUCUCUUGAGCCAACUAGGGGCGAGCGGAACAAAUGGUGGAGCGGUGAAAUGCGUAGAUAUCAUUUGGAACGCCAAUGGUGAAAACAGCUCGCUGGGGUUGUGCUGACACUGAGACACGAAAGCCAGGGGAGCGAACGGG